rnacentral:rRNA from 1 species
UACAGAGGAGCCAAGCGUUGUCCGGAUUGACUGGGCGUAAAGCGCACGCAGGCGGAUACGCGCGUGGGGUGUGAAAUCUGGCCGCUUAACGGCCAGGCGCCAUCCCAUACGGCGUGUCUGGAGCUGUGCAGAGGUCGGUGGAAUUGCCGGUGUAGUGGUGAAAUGCGUAGAGAUCGGCAGGAACACCCAGGGGGAAACCAGUGGACUGGGCAUGUGCUGACGCUCAGGUGCGAAAGCGUGGGGAGCGAACCGG